UUUCUCCUCAUUUCUAACAAAAAAGUGACCAGAACUACCAUCAGAUAGCAAUGCCAACCUCAGAAUUGAUUCAGCACCUUCAUCAGGUGUUAGAUAACCUGUAUUGUAAUUUAUAUCUGUUUUCACAAAGCCAGGACAAACAGCAUUGAUGCAUAUUGAUGGAUACUUCUUGGCUGCAACUCUUGUAUAGGCACUUAGAGAAGCUUUUGAGAUAAUGUAUGUAGACAUGCUAUUAAUAGGCCAACCUUUAUUUUCUACUAGUGAUCCCUCUUUAAAAUCCUUUAGAAAUUGAUUCAAAACUUCAUCAAUCUUUUCUUCUGUAAGGUUUUCAAUAUCACUCAGUACCUCCUUAGGCCAUCCAUUAGGAAGUUUCUGCAAAUAAAAUUGCAUGAAAAUGAGUAUUAUCCUCCAAUUGCAUAAUAGUUCAAAGUGAAAUAACAUAUAGCACUUUAAAUCCAAUGAAUGAAGCAUUAAUACAUUUUAAGUAGUUUCGAGUUCAAACCCUCGGCUCGGUUAGUGAGCUAAAGGACAACAAAGAAUUUUUAAAAAGGUUGUCGAGAGUUCAAACCCUGAAAAUUUACAUAACCACUAACUUACUAACAUUUGUCUAUAAAAAAAAAAACUAACGAACAAUUUGAUUUAGAUAUUUUCAUUAGAUAAGUUUCUAAAUAAGUUUCCCUAAAAAAAAAUCUAAAUAAGUUACCAAAGAAAGUAGCAGAAGUUAUUAGUAUCAUAUACCUCCAACUUUCCCAUGGAUGAGGAAACAUUGACAACUUUUGGUGAGCUUGAAAGCUGGAGAAGGGGAAUAAGUGCUUCAGUUAAGUCCUUGGCUCCAUAAUAGUUUGUUUUAAUACCUAAUUCAGUUUCUUCAUAUGUUUGAGUUAUUAUUUUACUCCAAUCAAUCUGGCCACCAUUUUCCUACAACCAAAAACAAGAAAACUUUAUUUCUUAAGCAUGACUUGCAAUUGUUAAUAAAUUUAACUAAUGUUAACAAUCUCUAUAUCGAAUGAAGUAAUAACCAAGGUUUUAAGUCGCUUUAACAGUCGCGGUAGGAUCACAAUGGUUGAUGUUGCGGAGAAUCACAAUCAUUUUGAACUUAAUGGAUUAGCAUGUUUAAGUAAAUCUCAUUAAUUUAAGUUAAACUGCCUCGGCUUUCCGGGGAAAGAAAUCAUACCGCAGUAUUAGCAGCAGCCAGAGCCUCACCGUCGACUUGUGCUCCAGGAAUUCCAGCAUUGUUUACCUAAGAAAAGUUUGGAGUUUCAAAUAUUUGUGAUCAUUCAAGAUGAAUUGAAAACUAUUUCACACACAGACAGAACCAUAUAAUAAUAGCUUAUAAUUUUUCAACUGUAAAAUAUUUUAUUUGACAAGGUAUAUCAAUGAAACUCAAUGGAUAUAGCUCAUCUAAAAUUAUCAGUAAAGUAAACAAUUUCAACCUUUAAUGAAAAAAAAAUGCACUCGAAUAUCAACGGUUGAUUCUGUUGUUACUUGUUAUGAUUUGUGUUUGCAAACGUUCACUGAAAAGUGAGUCAAGCUACAAGCCUACAAAUACUAAGUUUUACAUUAAAAUCAAUUUUAAAGACAAAAUUAAUUCUAAUGAUGAACUUCAAACAUACCACCAAAAACAAUUUUAAAAAUCUUUAUAAUCACUUUUGCCUCUCAAAAUUGAAUCCAAACAAGCACUAAAUUAAAUCACUCAUAUUAGAUCAACCAAAUCCAAAAUUCAGAUAUACUCUCUAUCUACUUAUACAAACUUUGAUAUAAAUUUGAAUUCUCUUACCAAAAGAUCUAGAUUACCAAAUUGAUUCUUGAUAAAAUCUACAAAUGAUCUUAUACUUGCAUGAUCUAUGACAUCAAGUUGAUGAAAAACAACAAGACCAGGCAAAGAAAGCUGUUUCAAUUUCUCAACAGCUUCAAGACCUCUCUUUUCAUCUCUUGCAGUAAGCACCACAGUGAUCCCUUUAGAAGCCAAUUGCUUGCAUACUGCAAAUCCUAUUCCUUUGUUUGCUCCUGUAACAACUGCAUAUCUAGAAACAAGAUUAUUAUGAGUUAUUAUGAUUAAGCUUAUGUUAAUUUAAUGGCAUAUAUAUGUAGGGUAUUUUGAAGAAUAAAAGGAUUUACCUUUUUGUUGCUUCUGCCAUUGAUAUGAAUAAAGAAAAGUGCUAGCAAGUAUGAGUGGACUAAAAUAAAAUAAAAAUGGGGUUGUGGUUGUGUUUAUAUAUAAUAAUAACUUUAUACUAUCAAGAGUUUCAAGUAAAAGUUGAUACUUGAUAGUAGAGUAGUGAUAUUUGAAAAACCAUUUCAUACAAUUUUUGGUAACAACUUCCUUUUUCUCUCUUUUGAUUGGUUAAAAAUAAUGGAGAGAGAAAAAGGAAGAGAGAGAAUAAGAGGAUAAUGUGAGUAUGAGAGAGAAAGUUGUCAAAAAGUUGUCACAAAGUGGACGUACAUAUAUCAUUUCUCUUGAUAGUAAAUGCAAUGUCAAAGUUAAUGUUCUAAUCAUUGUUGUCAAAAUUCUGACUUAAAUCCUAAAAUUCAGGAUUUUGCAACUUUCUUCACUUUCAACGACUCAAAUCUAUAGUAGAAUCCUAAAAUAGGAAAAAUUCAUCGAUUUUGAUUGCGAUUUUACGAUUUCUUAUAAACUAAGUAAUUUAUGACUAUAUACCAUUUAUAACAUAUAUUUAGUAUUAUUAUUUUUUGGUAAAAUCCAUCGAUUUUGAAUGCGAUUUUACAAUUUUCUAUAUCGAUUCUAUAAAAGUUCUUAGGUAAAAUCCUUCGAUUUUGAUUGCGAUUUUACGAGUUCCGAUUUUACUAUUCCCUUUUGACCUGAAGUAAAAUCCCGAUUUUGACAACCUUGGUUCCAAUAAUGUUUCUUUUUGUUUUCAACUUAUCAUGAACAUCAAUUGUUGUUGGACCACUCUUUGGUUGAAACAAAAACAAGUUGUCACAUUUUAUAAGUUUCUCUCCAUUGUUUUUUUAGAGGAAAAAAUUCAUCGAUCUCAUUGCAUUAGAUAAAGUGUCAAUACAAAGCGGUACUUCAAUAAACAAUUGAGAGCUAGUUUUAAUGGUAAUGUAUGUGCUUAUUCAGCGAUCCCAUUUGCUUGUCCUUUAAUAAAGUCAACCUUAGUUAGAGUCGUUAAAAGAUGUGAUGAACAACCGUCUACAGUGAUGAAUGAUGUUGUCAAACUCAUUGUUAUUACUGUUAUUAACAUUAAAUACAUCGACAACAAUCUUUGAAUCAAGAGAAAAAUUCGUGUUAACAAAACCAAAAUCAGUCACCCAUUACAAGCUUGACAAAGUCCUGACGCUUCAUCGACAUCCACUGAACACAAUGGGGAGAAUCAGGGGGUUUUUGCUAGCACAAACACAAAGCACUUUUCGGCAUCGCGAAUACACAUACUACUUAUUAUUGAUAGAAGAGAAUGAUGCAUCAACGUUACAUUUAAAUCUAUCAGAUGCACAUUGUUGUCAUCGUGCACAAUGUAUAUUGCUCAACCCUAGUAUAUUCGUAGUAGUUGUUGUUCUGAACAAUUCUUGUGCAAGUUUCUAGUGUUCUAACAUAUGCAAAACAUGUUUGAAUACUUGGUGGUCGUUUCGUCUACUUUUUUCCUUAAUUUCACAUUCCGACUAGGCAUGGCAACAAAAUCCAUGUCCACGGAUACCCGCCCAAACCAACCCCGUUUUGACUGGGUUUGAGGGGAUAUAGUUACCCACCCCGAAUCCAUACCCAAACCCUACCCAAAUAUAAGAAAAUUACCUUUUUACCCCUUUAUUACCCCUCUUAUAUAAAUAGAAACUCAAACCCUAAAAACCAUUUCACCACAUGUGUCUGUCAGACGAUGGCACUCACUCGAGUUAUCCCUCUUCUUCUUGGACAUCUCACACCAUUAUCACCAUCAUCUUCUGGUGUUUUUCUUAAUGAUUUAUGCUUAAUUUUUUUUGGAUUUUAUUUUAUUUUUUGUUAUGUUCGAUUCGGUUUGUUAUGUUCCGUUUGUUAUCUCUCUCUGUUUGUUUGUUUAUUAUUUUAUUUUUUGUUAUGUUCGAUUCGGUUUGUUAUGUUCCGUUUGUUAUCUCUCUCUGUUUGUUUGUUUAUUAUUUUAUUUUUUGUUAUGUUCGAUUCGGUUUGUUAUGUUCCGUUUGUUAUCUCUCUCUGUUUGUUUGUUUAUUAUUUUAUUUUUUGUUAUGUUCGAUUCGGUUUGUUAUGUUCCGUUUGUUAUCUCUCUCUGUUUGUUUGUUUAUUAUUUUAUUUUUUGUUAUGUUCGAUUCGGUUUGUUAUGUUCCGUUUGUUAUCUCUCUCUGUUUGUUUGUUUAUUAUUUUAUUUUUUGUUAUGUUCGAUUCGGUUUGUUAUGUUCCGUUUGUUAUCUCUCUCUGUUUGUUUGUUUAUUAUUUUAUUUUUUGUUAUGUUCGAUUCGGUUUGUUAUGUUCCGUUUGUUAUCUCUCUCUGUUUGUUUGUUUAUUAUUUUAUUUUUUGUUAUGUUCGAUUCGGUUUGUUAUGUUCCGUUUGUUAUCUCUCUCUGUUUGUUUGUUUAUUAUUUUAUUUUUUGUUAUGUUCGAUUCGGUUUGUUAUGUUCCGUUUGUUAUCUCUCUCUGUUUGUUUGUUUAUUAUUUUAUUUUUUGUUAUGUUCGAUUCGGUUUGUUAUGUUCCGUUUGUUAUCUCUCUCUGUUUGUUUGUUUAUUAUUUUAUUUUUUGUUAUGUUCGAUUCGGUUUGUUAUGUUCCGUUUGUUAUCUCUCUCUGUUUGUUUGUUUAUUAUUUUAUUUUUUGUUAUGUUCGAUUCGGUUUGUUAUGUUCCGUUUGUUAUCUCUCUCUGUUUGUUUGUUUAUUAUUUUAUUUUUUGUUAUGUUCGAUUCGGUUUGUUAUGUUCCGUUUGUUAUCUCUCUCUGUUUGUUUGUUUAUUAUUUUAUUUUUUGUUAUGUUCGAUUCGGUUUGUUAUGUUCCGUUUGUUAUCUCUCUCUGUUUGUUUGUUUAUUAUUUUAUUUUUUGUUAUGUUCGAUUCGGUUUGUUAUGUUCCGUUUGUUAUCUCUCUCUGUUUGUUUGUUUAUUAUUUUAUUUUUUGUUAUGUUCGAUUCGGUUUGUUAUGUUCCGUUUGUUAUCUCUCUCUGUUUGUUUGUUUAUUAUUUUAUUUUUUGUUAUGUUCGAUUCGGUUUGUUAUGUUCCGUUUGUUAUCUCUCUCUGUUUGUUUGUUUAUUAUUUUAUUUUUUGUUAUGUUCGAUUCGGUUUGUUAUGUUCCGUUUGUUAUCUCUCUCUGUUUGUUUGUUUAUUAUUUUAUUUUUUGUUAUGUUCGAUUCGGUUUGUUAUGUUCCGUUUGUUAUCUCUCUCUGUUUGUUUGUUUAUUAUUUUAUUUUUUGUUAUGUUCGAUUCGGUUUGUUAUGUUCCGUUUGUUAUCUCUCUCUGUUUGUUUGUUUAUUAUUUUAUUUUUUGUUAUGUUCGAUUCGGUUUGUUAUGUUCCGUUUGUUAUCUCUCUCUGUUUGUUUGUUUAUUAUUUUAUUUUUUGUUAUGUUCGAUUCGGUUUGUUAUGUUCCGUUUGUUAUCUCUCUCUGUUUGUUUGUUUAUUAUUUUAUUUUUUGUUAUGUUCGAUUCGGUUUGUUAUGUUCCGUUUGUUAUCUCUCUCUGUUUGUUUGUUUAUUAUUUUAUUUUUUGUUAUGUUCGAUUCGGUUUGUUAUGUUCCGUUUGUUAUCUCUCUCUGUUUGUUUGUUUAUUAUUUUAUUUUUUGUUAUGUUCGAUUCGGUUUGUUAUGUUCCGUUUGUUAUCUCUCUCUGUUUGUUUGUUUAUUAUUUUAUUUUUUGUUAUGUUCGAUUCGGUUUGUUAUGUUCCGUUUGUUAUCUCUCUCUGUUUGUUUGUUUAUUAUUUUAUUUUUUGUUAUGUUCGAUUCGGUUUGUUAUGUUCCGUUUGUUAUCUCUCUCUGUUUGUUUGUUUAUUAUUUUAUUUUUUGUUAUGUUCGAUUCGGUUUGUUAUGUUCCGUUUGUUAUCUCUCUCUGUUUGUUUGUUUAUUAUUUUAUUUUUUGUUAUGUUCGAUUCGGUUUGUUAUGUUCCGUUUGUUAUCUCUCUCUGUUUGUUUGUUUAUUAUUUUAUUUUUUGUUAUGUUCGAUUCGGUUUGUUAUGUUCCGUUUGUUAUCUCUCUCUGUUUGUUUGUUUAUUAUUUUAUUUUUUGUUAUGUUCGAUUCGGUUUGUUAUGUUCCGUUUGUUAUCUCUCUCUGUUUGUUUGUUUAUUAUUUUAUUUUUUGUUAUGUUCGAUUCGGUUUGUUAUGUUCCGUUUGUUAUCUCUCUCUGUUUGUUUGUUUAUUAUUUUAUUUUUUGUUAUGUUCGAUUCGGUUUGUUAUGUUCCGUUUGUUAUCUCUCUCUGUUUGUUUGUUUAUUAUUUUAUUUUUUGUUAUGUUCGAUUCGGUUUGUUAUGUUCCGUUUGUUAUCUCUCUCUGUUUGUUUGUUUAUUAUUUUAUUUUUUGUUAUGUUCGAUUCGGUUUGUUAUGUUCCGUUUGUUAUCUCUCUCUGUUUGUUUGUUUAUUAUUUUAUUUUUUGUUAUGUUCGAUUCGGUUUGUUAUGUUCCGUUUGUUAUCUCUCUCUGUUUGUUUGUUUAUUAUUUUAUUUUUUGUUAUGUUCGAUUCGGUUUGUUAUGUUCCGUUUGUUAUCUCUCUCUGUUUGUUUGUUUAUUAUUUUAUUUUUUGUUAUGUUCGAUUCGGUUUGUUAUGUUCCGUUUGUUAUCUCUCUCUGUUUGUUUGUUUAUUAUUUUAUUUUUUGUUAUGUUCGAUUCGGUUUGUUAUGUUCCGUUUGUUAUCUCUCUCUGUUUGUUUGUUUAUUAUUUUAUUUUUUGUUAUGUUCGAUUCGGUUUGUUAUGUUCCGUUUGUUAUCUCUCUCUGUUUGUUUGUUUAUUAUUUUAUUUUUUGUUAUGUUCGAUUCGGUUUGUUAUGUUCCGUUUGUUAUCUCUCUCUGUUUGUUUGUUUAUUAUUUUAUUUUUUGUUAUGUUCGAUUCGGUUUGUUAUGUUCCGUUUGUUAUCUCUCUCUGUUUGUUUGUUUAUUAUUUUAUUUUUUGUUAUGUUCGAUUCGGUUUGUUAUGUUCCGUUUGUUAUCUCUCUCUGUUUGUUUGUUUAUUAUUUUAUUUUUUGUUAUGUUCGAUUCGGUUUGUUAUGUUCCGUUUGUUAUCUCUCUCUGUUUGUUUGUUUAUUAUUUUAUUUUUUGUUAUGUUCGAUUCGGUUUGUUAUGUUCCGUUUGUUAUCUCUCUCUGUUUGUUUGUUUAUUAUUUUAUUUUUUGUUAUGUUCGAUUCGGUUUGUUAUGUUCCGUUUGUUAUCUCUCUCUGUUUGUUUGUUUAUUAUUUUAUUUUUUGUUAUGUUCGAUUCGGUUUGUUAUGUUCCGUUUGUUAUCUCUCUCUGUUUGUUUGUUUAUUAUUUUAUUUUUUGUUAUGUUCGAUUCGGUUUGUUAUGUUCCGUUUGUUAUCUCUCUCUGUUUGUUUGUUUAUUAUUUUAUUUUUUGUUAUGUUCGAUUCGGUUUGUUAUGUUCCGUUUGUUAUCUCUCUCUGUUUGUUUGUUUAUUAUUUUAUUUUUUGUUAUGUUCGAUUCGGUUUGUUAUGUUCCGUUUGUUAUCUCUCUCUGUUUGUUUGUUUAUUAUUUUAUUUUUUGUUAUGUUCGAUUCGGUUUGUUAUGUUCCGUUUGUUAUCUCUCUCUGUUUGUUUGUUUAUUAUUUUAUUUUUUGUUAUGUUCGAUUCGGUUUGUUAUGUUCCGUUUGUUAUCUCUCUCUGUUUGUUUGUUUAUUAUUUUAUUUUUUGUUAUGUUCGAUUCGGUUUGUUAUGUUCCGUUUGUUAUCUCUCUCUGUUUGUUUGUUUAUUAUUUUAUUUUUUGUUAUGUUCGAUUCGGUUUGUUAUGUUCCGUUUGUUAUCUCUCUCUGUUUGUUUGUUUAUUAUUUUAUUUUUUGUUAUGUUCGAUUCGGUUUGUUAUGUUCCGUUUGUUAUCUCUCUCUGUUUGUUUGUUUAUUAUUUUAUUUUUUGUUAUGUUCGAUUCGGUUUGUUAUGUUCCGUUUGUUAUCUCUCUCUGUUUGUUUGUUUAUUAUUUUAUUUUUUGUUAUGUUCGAUUCGGUUUGUUAUGUUCCGUUUGUUAUCUCUCUCUGUUUGUUUGUUUAUUAUUUUAUUUUUUGUUAUGUUCGAUUCGGUUUGUUAUGUUCCGUUUGUUAUCUCUCUCUGUUUGUUUGUUUAUUAUUUUAUUUUUUGUUAUGUUCGAUUCGGUUUGUUAUGUUCCGUUUGUUAUCUCUCUCUGUUUGUUUGUUUAUUAUUUUAUUUUUUGUUAUGUUCGAUUCGGUUUGUUAUGUUCCGUUUGUUAUCUCUCUCUGUUUGUUUGUUUAUUAUUUUAUUUUUUGUUAUGUUCGAUUCGGUUUGUUAUGUUCCGUUUGUUAUCUCUCUCUGUUUGUUUGUUUAUUAUUUUAUUUUUUGUUAUGUUCGAUUCGGUUUGUUAUGUUCCGUUUGUUAUCUCUCUCUGUUUGUUUGUUUAUUAUUUUAUUUUUUGUUAUGUUCGAUUCGGUUUGUUAUGUUCCGUUUGUUAUCUCUCUCUGUUUGUUUGUUUAUUAUUUUAUUUUUUGUUAUGUUCGAUUCGGUUUGUUAUGUUCCGUUUGUUAUCUCUCUCUGUUUGUUUGUUUAUUAUUUUAUUUUUUGUUAUGUUCGAUUCGGUUUGUUAUGUUCCGUUUGUUAUCUCUCUCUGUUUGUUUGUUUAUUAUUUUAUUUUUUGUUAUGUUCGAUUCGGUUUGUUAUGUUCCGUUUGUUAUCUCUCUCUGUUUGUUUGUUUAUUAUUUUAUUUUUUGUUAUGUUCGAUUCGGUUUGUUAUGUUCCGUUUGUUAUCUCUCUCUGUUUGUUUGUUUAUUAUUUUAUUUUUUGUUAUGUUCGAUUCGGUUUGUUAUGUUCCGUUUGUUAUCUCUCUCUGUUUGUUUGUUUAUUAUUUUAUUUUUUGUUAUGUUCGAUUCGGUUUGUUAUGUUCCGUUUGUUAUCUCUCUCUGUUUGUUUGUUUAUUAUUUUAUUUUUUGUUAUGUUCGAUUCGGUUUGUUAUGUUCCGUUUGUUAUCUCUCUCUGUUUGUUUGUUUAUUAUUUUAUUUUUUGUUAUGUUCGAUUCGGUUUGUUAUGUUCCGUUUGUUAUCUCUCUCUGUUUGUUUGUUUAUUAUUUUAUUUUUUGUUAUGUUCGAUUCGGUUUGUUAUGUUCCGUUUGUUAUCUCUCUCUGUUUGUUUGUUUAUUAUUUUAUUUUUUGUUAUGUUCGAUUCGGUUUGUUAUGUUCCGUUUGUUAUCUCUCUCUGUUUGUUUGUUUAUUAUUUUAUUUUUUGUUAUGUUCGAUUCGGUUUGUUAUGUUCCGUUUGUUAUCUCUCUCUGUUUGUUUGUUUAUUAUUUUAUUUUUUGUUAUGUUCGAUUCGGUUUGUUAUGUUCCGUUUGUUAUCUCUCUCUGUUUGUUUGUUUAUUAUUUUAUUUUUUGUUAUGUUCGAUUCGGUUUGUUAUGUUCCGUUUGUUAUCUCUCUCUGUUUGUUUGUUUAUUAUUUUAUUUUUUGUUAUGUUCGAUUCGGUUUGUUAUGUUCCGUUUGUUAUCUCUCUCUGUUUGUUUGUUUAUUAUUUUAUUUUUUGUUAUGUUCGAUUCGGUUUGUUAUGUUCCGUUUGUUAUCUCUCUCUGUUUGUUUGUUUAUUAUUUUAUUUUUUGUUAUGUUCGAUUCGGUUUGUUAUGUUCCGUUUGUUAUCUCUCUCUGUUUGUUUGUUUAUUAUUUUAUUUUUUGUUAUGUUCGAUUCGGUUUGUUAUGUUCCGUUUGUUAUCUCUCUCUGUUUGUUUGUUUAUUAUUUUAUUUUUUGUUAUGUUCGAUUCGGUUUGUUAUGUUCCGUUUGUUAUCUCUCUCUGUUUGUUUGUUUAUUAUUUUAUUUUUUGUUAUGUUCGAUUCGGUUUGUUAUGUUCCGUUUGUUAUCUCUCUCUGUUUGUUUGUUUAUUAUUUUAUUUUUUGUUAUGUUCGAUUCGGUUUGUUAUGUUCCGUUUGUUAUCUCUCUCUGUUUGUUUGUUUAUUAUUUUAUUUUUUGUUAUGUUCGAUUCGGUUUGUUAUGUUCCGUUUGUUAUCUCUCUCUGUUUGUUUGUUUAUUAUUUUAUUUUUUGUUAUGUUCGAUUCGGUUUGUUAUGUUCCGUUUGUUAUCUCUCUCUGUUUGUUUGUUUAUUAUUUUAUUUUUUGUUAUGUUCGAUUCGGUUUGUUAUGUUCCGUUUGUUAUCUCUCUCUGUUUGUUUGUUUAUUAUUUUAUUUUUUGUUAUGUUCGAUUCGGUUUGUUAUGUUCCGUUUGUUAUCUCUCUCUGUUUGUUUGUUUAUUAUUUUAUUUUUUGUUAUGUUCGAUUCGGUUUGUUAUGUUCCGUUUGUUAUCUCUCUCUGUUUGUUUGUUUAUUAUUUUAUUUUUUGUUAUGUUCGAUUCGGUUUGUUAUGUUCCGUUUGUUAUCUCUCUCUGUUUGUUUGUUUAUUAUUUUAUUUUUUGUUAUGUUCGAUUCGGUUUGUUAUGUUCCGUUUGUUAUCUCUCUCUGUUUGUUUGUUUAUUAUUUUAUUUUUUGUUAUGUUCGAUUCGGUUUGUUAUGUUCCGUUUGUUAUCUCUCUCUGUUUGUUUGUUUAUUAUUUUAUUUUUUGUUAUGUUCGAUUCGGUUUGUUAUGUUCCGUUUGUUAUCUCUCUCUGUUUGUUUGUUUAUUAUUUUAUUUUUUGUUAUGUUCGAUUCGGUUUGUUAUGUUCCGUUUGUUAUCUCUCUCUGUUUGUUUGUUUAUUAUUUUAUUUUUUGUUAUGUUCGAUUCGGUUUGUUAUGUUCCGUUUGUUAUCUCUCUCUGUUUGUUUGUUUAUUAUUUUAUUUUUUGUUAUGUUCGAUUCGGUUUGUUAUGUUCCGUUUGUUAUCUCUCUCUGUUUGUUUGUUUAUUAUUUUAUUUUUUGUUAUGUUCGAUUCGGUUUGUUAUGUUCCGUUUGUUAUCUCUCUCUGUUUGUUUGUUUAUUAUUUUAUUUUUUGUUAUGUUCGAUUCGGUUUGUUAUGUUCCGUUUGUUAUCUCUCUCUGUUUGUUUGUUUAUUAUUUUAUUUUUUGUUAUGUUCGAUUCGGUUUGUUAUGUUCCGUUUGUUAUCUCUCUCUGUUUGUUUGUUUAUUAUUUUAUUUUUUGUUAUGUUCGAUUCGGUUUGUUAUGUUCCGUUUGUUAUCUCUCUCUGUUUGUUUGUUUAUUAUUUUAUUUUUUGUUAUGUUCGAUUCGGUUUGUUAUGUUCCGUUUGUUAUCUCUCUCUGUUUGUUUGUUUAUUAUUUUAUUUUUUGUUAUGUUCGAUUCGGUUUGUUAUGUUCCGUUUGUUAUCUCUCUCUGUUUGUUUGUUUAUUAUUUUAUUUUUUGUUAUGUUCGAUUCGGUUUGUUAUGUUCCGUUUGUUAUCUCUCUCUGUUUGUUUGUUUAUUAUUUUAUUUUUUGUUAUGUUCGAUUCGGUUUGUUAUGUUCCGUUUGUUAUCUCUCUCUGUUUGUUUGUUUAUUAUUUUAUUUUUUGUUAUGUUCGAUUCGGUUUGUUAUGUUCCGUUUGUUAUCUCUCUCUGUUUGUUUGUUUAUUAUUUUAUUUUUUGUUAUGUUCGAUUCGGUUUGUUAUGUUCCGUUUGUUAUCUCUCUCUGUUUGUUUGUUUAUUAUUUUAUUUUUUGUUAUGUUCGAUUCGGUUUGUUAUGUUCCGUUUGUUAUCUCUCUCUGUUUGUUUGUUUAUUAUUUUAUUUUUUGUUAUGUUCGAUUCGGUUUGUUAUGUUCCGUUUGUUAUCUCUCUCUGUUUGUUUGUUUAUUAUUUUAUUUUUUGUUAUGUUCGAUUCGGUUUGUUAUGUUCCGUUUGUUAUCUCUCUCUGUUUGUUUGUUUAUUAUUUUAUUUUUUGUUAUGUUCGAUUCGGUUUGUUAUGUUCCGUUUGUUAUCUCUCUCUGUUUGUUUGUUUAUUAUUUUAUUUUUUGUUAUGUUCGAUUCGGUUUGUUAUGUUCCGUUUGUUAUCUCUCUCUGUUUGUUUGUUUAUUAUUUUAUUUUUUGUUAUGUUCGAUUCGGUUUGUUAUGUUCCGUUUGUUAUCUCUCUCUGUUUGUUUGUUUAUUAUUUUAUUUUUUGUUAUGUUCGAUUCGGUUUGUUAUGUUCCGUUUGUUAUCUCUCUCUGUUUGUUUGUUUAUUAUUUUAUUUUUUGUUAUGUUCGAUUCGGUUUGUUAUGUUCCGUUUGUUAUCUCUCUCUGUUUGUUUGUUUAUUAUUUUAUUUUUUGUUAUGUUCGAUUCGGUUUGUUAUGUUCCGUUUGUUAUCUCUCUCUGUUUGUUUGUUUAUUAUUUUAUUUUUUGUUAUGUUCGAUUCGGUUUGUUAUGUUCCGUUUGUUAUCUCUCUCUGUUUGUUUGUUUAUUAUUUUAUUUUUUGUUAUGUUCGAUUCGGUUUGUUAUGUUCCGUUUGUUAUCUCUCUCUGUUUGUUUGUUUAUUAUUUUAUUUUUUGUUAUGUUCGAUUCGGUUUGUUAUGUUCCGUUUGUUAUCUCUCUCUGUUUGUUUGUUUAUUAUUUUAUUUUUUGUUAUGUUCGAUUCGGUUUGUUAUGUUCCGUUUGUUAUCUCUCUCUGUUUGUUUGUUUAUUAUUUUAUUUUUUGUUAUGUUCGAUUCGGUUUGUUAUGUUCCGUUUGUUAUCUCUCUCUGUUUGUUUGUUUAUUAUUUUAUUUUUUGUUAUGUUCGAUUCGGUUUGUUAUGUUCCGUUUGUUAUCUCUCUCUGUUUGUUUGUUUAUUAUUUUAUUUUUUGUUAUGUUCGAUUCGGUUUGUUAUGUUCCGUUUGUUAUCUCUCUCUGUUUGUUUGUUUAUUAUUUUAUUUUUUGUUAUGUUCGAUUCGGUUUGUUAUGUUCCGUUUGUUAUCUCUCUCUGUUUGUUUGUUUAUUAUUUUAUUUUUUGUUAUGUUCGAUUCGGUUUGUUAUGUUCCGUUUGUUAUCUCUCUCUGUUUGUUUGUUUAUUAUUUUAUUUUUUGUUAUGUUCGAUUCGGUUUGUUAUGUUCCGUUUGUUAUCUCUCUCUGUUUGUUUGUUUAUUAUUUUAUUUUUUGUUAUGUUCGAUUCGGUUUGUUAUGUUCCGUUUGUUAUCUCUCUCUGUUUGUUUGUUUAUUAUUUUAUUUUUUGUUAUGUUCGAUUCUGUUUGCGAAGACUAUCAAUAUUUUUGUUAAUUUUAAAGUUUGGUGGAAUCAAUGGAAUGAGAUUUGUAACACGUACAAACACACGAACAACAACACAAUUGUAUUAGUGUUUAUUGGUUAAUACGACUUUUUGUGACUAAUGUUAUGUGAUGGAAAUACCGGUGCAGAAGAGAUUUAUUUAAACAGUGCUGCUAUAUAUAAGAAAAAAUCAUCUAUCAAAAAAUAAAUAAAUAAAUAAAUAAAUAAAUAUAUAUAUAUAUAUAUAUAUAUAUAUAUNUUGCAUACUGCAAAUCCUAUUCCUUUGUUUGCUCCUGUAACAACUGCAUAUCUAGAAACAAGAUUAACAAGGUUGUAUUAUGUGUCAUUGUCAUGAAGCUUUUGGUUAACUGUGUGUGUCUAUAUAUAUAUAUAUAUAUUGAAGGUGUGUUUAAAAAAAAAAAAAUGUAAGGUAUAUUGAAGAAACAAAAGGGUAAGAAAAAUUAGAUUCUACAUUGUUGUUGCUUCUGCCAUUGAUAUGGUAAGAGUGAGGUGCUAGCAAAUAUGUGUUGACCAAAAUGAAGAUUAUAAAUUAAAAUGGGUUUGUAGUUAUAUGUUUAUAACUUUCUAUUAAUUAUCUUUAAAUAUUAGUUCCAACAACUAUUUUACCAGCCAAAGAAAAUAUUCUUUAUUUUAUGAUAAAAAGAGUAAGUGAAUCCCCGUGAGCUUAGCUCAGUUGGUAGGGAUAUUGCAUAUUAUAUGCAGGAGCUGGGGUUCGAACCCCGGACACUCCACUUCUCCACAAUUAAAUUGUGUGAGCUCUAACCACUAGGCUACUUGACCAAAAAAAAAAAAAAAAGAGUAAGUGAAUUGAAAGCCGGACCUCAAAGUUAAAGAGUCUUUAUAGAGGUACACUUACAAAUCAGCUAUCAUAGAGGUGAGAGAGUUAACUUGUUACCAACUGAGUCAAAAAUAAUCGACAUAAUUUUUCGUUUUUCGUAUAAGCAAUAAAUUUUUGUUUUAAUAAUGUUUUUUUUUUUAUGAAGUUUUGUGGGAAUUACGUUUUAAUAGGAAUCUUUUUAUUGCGCUAGCGCGUGUAGAUUAUCAACGAAAUAUUAUAGAAAUUUUGCGUGUAAAUUGCAAACGAUAUUUUAUAUAACUCUUUUAUAUAAAUUAAAAUGAUAAGUAUAGAUAUUUGUGACUUUCAAAUGUAUCAAACUCAACAAAUCAUAUUUAUCUUUUUCAAUGACAACAAUAAUAUAACAAAUAUAAUAAAAAAUUCUUAUAUUUUUUAAUCACAACAACAAUAUAACAUUAUUAUAGAAAAAUUUAUGUAAGAGUAUAAUUGAAAUAACAAAAAAGUUUGCCCAAAAUCCAGAUUUAGUGUAGUAGUUAUUAUUUAUUUCCUCAAUAAUAAUUUAUAUGAUUUUGGAUUAGUAAUGCCACAUGUAUAAACUGCAACUGUUCAAGCGCAAUAUUGAUGAUUCCUUUUCGCAAUCUAUGAAUUUUAUAAGCAUUGGUAUAUGUGUGUCUGAUGAUGAUGAAGUUUUUCUUCUAGCCAAAACCAUAAAUUUAUCUCCUUGAGUUCUGCUCCAGUUGGCGAAGCUUUAGGUUUGUUUAAUGAUGUAGAAUGAUUAAGUGCAUGAAGAUGGAUAUUGUCAACUUUGUUGUGGAUUCUAAAACAAUCAACGACAUUUUUUACUCCAACAAACCUUAUGUUUCAAAAUUUGGUCAUAUCAUAUCAUGGUGCCAGAGACUUUCACAUUUUUUUUAGAGAGUGAUAAAUUAAUACUUAUGAUUAAUAUAUUUUUAAGUUUAAGAAUAUUAUAACAACAUAUAUUAAAAAAAAAUCAAUACAAAGUAAUUGUUUUCAGCCAAUAAUUAUCUAUCUUUCACAUUGUUUUCUUACAACAAAUAUUAAUCCUUGCUCAAAAUGGUUUCUCCUCAUUUCUAACAAAAAAGUGACCAGAACUACCAUCAGAUAGCAAUGCCAACCUCAGAAUUGAUUCAGCACCUUCAUCAGGUGUUAGAUAACCUGUAUUGUAAUUUAUAUCUGUUUUCACAAAGCCAGGACAAACAGCAUUGAUGCAUAUUGAUGGAUACUUCUUGGCUGCAACUCUUGUAUAGGCACUUAGAGAAGCUUUUGAGAUAAUGUAUGUAGACAUGCUAUUAAUAGGCCAACCUUUAUUUUCUACUAGUGAUCCCUCUUUAAAAUCCUUUAGAAAUUGAUUCAAAACUUCAUCAAUCUUUUCUUCUGUAAGGUUUUCAAUAUCACUCAGUACCUCCUUAGGCCAUCCAUUAGGAAGUUUCUGCAAAUAAAAUUGCAUGAAAAUGAGUAUUAUCCUCCAAUUGCAUAAUAGUUCAAAGUGAAAUAACAUAUAGCACUUUAAAUCCAAUGAAUGAAGCAUUAAUACAUUUUAAGUAGUUUCGAGUUCAAACCCUCGGCUCGGUUAGUGAGCUAAAGGACAACAAAGAAUUUUUAAAAAGGUUGUCGAGAGUUCAAACCCUGAAAAUUUACAUAACCACUAACUUACUAACAUUUGUCUAUAAAAAAAAAAACUAACGAACAAUUUGAUUUAGAUAUUUUCAUUAGAUAAGUUUCUAAAUAAGUUUCCCUAAAAAAAAAUCUAAAUAAGUUACCAAAGAAAGUAGCAGAAGUUAUUAGUAUCAUAUACCUCCAACUUUCCCAUGGAUGAGGAAACAUUGACAACUUUUGGUGAGCUUGAAAGCUGGAGAAGGGGAAUAAGUGCUUCAGUUAAGUCCUUGGCUCCAUAAUAGUUUGUUUUAAUACCUAAUUCAGUUUCUUCAUAUGUUUGAGUUAUUAUUUUACUCCAAUCAAUCUGGCCACCAUUUUCCUACAACCAAAAACAAGAAAACUUUAUUUCUUAAGCAUGACUUGCAAUUGUUAAUAAAUUUAACUAAUGUUAACAAUCUCUAUAUCGAAUGAAGUAAUAACCAAGGUUUUAAGUCGCUUUAACAGUCGCGGUAGGAUCACAAUGGUUGAUGUUGCGGAGAAUCACAAUCAUUUUGAACUUAAUGGAUUAGCAUGUUUAAGUAAAUCUCAUUAAUUUAAGUUAAACUGCCUCGGCUUUCCGGGGAAAGAAAUCAUACCGCAGUAUUAGCAGCAGCCAGAGCCUCACCGUCGACUUGUGCUCCAGGAAUUCCAGCAUUGUUUACCUAAGAAAAGUUUGGAGUUUCAAAUAUUUGUGAUCAUUCAAGAUGAAUUGAAAACUAUUUCACACACAGACAGAACCAUAUAAUAAUAGCUUAUAAUUUUUCAACUGUAAAAUAUUUUAUUUGACAAGGUAUAUCAAUGAAACUCAAUGGAUAUAGCUCAUCUAAAAUUAUCAGUAAAGUAAACAAUUUCAACCUUUAAUGAAAAAAAAAUGCACUCGAAUAUCAACGGUUGAUUCUGUUGUUACUUGUUAUGAUUUGUGUUUGCAAACGUUCACUGAAAAGUGAGUCAAGCUACAAGCCUACAAAUACUAAGUUUUACAUUAAAAUCAAUUUUAAAGACAAAAUUAAUUCUAAUGAUGAACUUCAAACAUACCACCAAAAACAAUUUUAAAAAUCUUUAUAAUCACUUUUGCCUCUCAAAAUUGAAUCCAAACAAGCACUAAAUUAAAUCACUCAUAUUAGAUCAACCAAAUCCAAAAUUCAGAUAUACUCUCUAUCUACUUAUACAAACUUUGAUAUAAAUUUGAAUUCUCUUACCAAAAGAUCUAGAUUACCAAAUUGAUUCUUGAUAAAAUCUACAAAUGAUCUUAUACUUGCAUGAUCUAUGACAUCAAGUUGAUGAAAAACAACAAGACCAGGCAAAGAAAGCUGUUUCAAUUUCUCAACAGCUUCAAGACCUCUCUUUUCAUCUCUUGCAGUAAGCACCACAGUGAUCCCUUUAGAAGCCAAUUGCUUGCAUACUGCAAAUCCUAUUCCUUUGUUUGCUCCUGUAACAACUGCAUAUCUAGAAACAAGAUUANNNNNNNNNNNNNNNNNNNNNNNNNNNNNNNNNNNNNNNNNNNNNNNNNNNNNNNNNNNNNNNNNNNNNNNNNNNNNNNNNNNNNNNNNNNNNNNNNNNNNNNNNNNNNNNNNNNNNNNNNNNNNNNNNNNNNNNNNNNNNNNNNNNNNNNNNNNNNNNNNNNNNNNNNNNNNNNNNNNNNNNNNNNNNNNNNNNNNNNNNNNNNNNNNNNNNNNNNNNNNNNNNNNNNNNNNNNNNNNNNNNNNNNNNNNNNNNNNNNNNNNNNNNNNNNNNNNNNNNNNNNNNNNNNNNNNNNNNNNNNNNNNNNNNNNNNNNNNNNNNNNNNNNNNNNNNNNNNNNNNNNNNNNNNNNNNNNNNNNNNNNNNNNNNNNNNNNNNNNNNNNNNNNNNNNNNNNNNNNNNNNNNNNNNNNNNNNNNNNNNNNNNNNNNNNNNAAUUGAUUCAGCACCUUCAUCAGGUGUUAGAUAACCUGUAUUGUAAUUUAUAUCUGUUUUCACAAAGCCAGGACAAACAGCAUUGAUGCAUAUUGAUGGAUACUUCUUGGCUGCAACUCUUGUAUAGGCACUUAGAGAAGCUUUUGAGAUAAUGUAUGUAGACAUGCUAUUAAUAGGCCAACCUUUAUUUUCUACUAGUGAUCCCUCUUUAAAAUCCUUUAGAAAUUGAUUCAAAACUUCAUCAAUCUUUUCUUCUGUAAGGUUUUCAAUAUCACUCAGUACCUCCUUAGGCCAUCCAUUAGGAAGUUUCUGCAAAUAAAAUUGCAUGAAAAUGAGUAUUAUCCUCCAAUUGCAUAAUAGUUCAAAGUGAAAUAACAUAUAGCACUUUAAAUCCAAUGAAUGAAGCAUUAAUACAUUUUAAGUAGUUUCGAGUUCAAACCCUCGGCUCGGUUAGUGAGCUAAAGGACAACAAAGAAUUUUUAAAAAGGUUGUCGAGAGUUCAAACCCUGAAAAUUUACAUAACCACUAACUUACUAACAUUUGUCUAUAAAAAAAAAAACUAACGAACAAUUUGAUUUAGAUAUUUUCAUUAGAUAAGUUUCU
rnacentral:lncRNA from 1 species